rnacentral:misc_RNA from 1 species
GUUAUUUAUAUGACGUUAAAAUUUUCAUUUGAAUUUAUCAUGUCUCAAAAUAAUUUAGAAUUUGUUCUUACUAGGAAAUCAUAUUAUUCAAGGAUCUUAUUCCGGUGUUUUUAAAUCUCUUAGUUUUGCCAUCUGGUCAAUUAAAUUGUCAAUUCGAAUUAUUUUUAUAAAUCAAAAUUGCCAAUGAAAAUUUUAACGUCAUAUAAAUAAC